rnacentral:lncRNA from 1 species
AUGUUCAGAGCUGCGUAUGGACUGUGCAUUUAUUUCUUAUUAUAUAUAGGGAUGGUGCGAUGUGUGACCGUUCAACAGAACCCCACAUCCAUUUUAGCCAACGAGAAAUCUGCAGUGAUAAAUUGUAGUUAUGAUGAUAGUAACAUGGAUUAUAUGCAAUGGUAUCAGCAGAAGGAUACAGCCAUGGUCUUGAUCGUCUUCAGUUACAGUGCUACAGGUGAACCCACGUUUGAAGAUGGAUUUAAAGGCCGGACUGAACUGGACAGAACAGAAACACUGAAGGGAGUCCUGAAAAUCUCUGAUCUCAGUUCAUCAGACUCGGCUGUUUAUUACUGUGCUGUCAGUAUGCACAGUGCUGUAGUCUUUAUUACCUGCCUGACUAAAAACCAAGCCACCAGACAAACAGGAAAUGCAAUACGUACAAAUGAGGAAUCUAACCUCUGUAUCUUUUUCUUUUUUUCAGAUUUUCUUUUUCAAAGAUUUUUGUACUUUCUGUCAGUUUUUAAUUGAAAACACAAUCAAAUAUAAGCUUUCCUCCAAAACUAGUAGACCUACCUAGACAACAUUUUAAGGCAUCAUGUGUGGUGGCCAAAUUUUACAGUAACAUAUCCUUCACAGAUAACACAAUACCAGGAUGCAUUGCGACAGUAUCUGUGAAACAUACAAGAUGAUGGAUGCAGUCGAGAGAAAUAUUUCCAAUAAAUACUUACAUUUCAUGCAACAAAAAC